CCUACGGGUGGCAGCAGUGAGGAAUAUUGGUCAAUGGGCGUAAGCCUGAACCAGCCAAGUCGCGUGAGGGAUGAAGGUUCUAUGGAUCGUAAACCUCUUUUAUAAGGGAAUAAAGUGUGGGACGUGUCCUAUUUUGUAUGUACCUUAUGAAUAAGGAUCGGCUAACUCCGUGCAAGCAGCCACGGUAAUACGGAGGAUACGAGCGUUAUCCGGAUUUAUUGGGUUUAAAGGGUGCAUAGGCGGCCUUUUAAGUCAGCGGUGAAAGUCUGUGGCUCAACCAUAGCAUUGCCGUUGAAACUGGGGGGCUUGAGUAGGUUUGAGGCAGGCGGAAUGCGUGGUGUAGCGGUGAAAUGCUUAGAUAUCACGCAGAACCCCGAUUGCGAAGGCAGCCUGCCAAGCCAUGACUGACGCUGAUGCACGAAAGCGUGGGGAUCAAACAGGAUUAGAUACCCGAGUAGUC
rnacentral:rRNA from 1 species